rnacentral:rRNA from 1 species
UGGGGAAUAUUGCACAAUGGGCGAAAGCCUGAUGCAGCAACGCCGCGUGAGUGAUGAAGGCCUUCGGGUUGUAAAGCUCUGUCUUCUGGGACGAUAAUGACGGUACCAGAGGAGGAAGCCACGGCUAACUACGUGCCAGCAGCCGCGGUAAUACGUAGGCAGCAAGCGUUGUUCGGAGUUACUGGGCGUAAAGAGUGCGUAGGCGGUUUUCUAAGUUCGGUGUGAAAUCUCCCGGCUUAACUGGGAGGGUGCGCCGAAGACUGGGAAGCUGGAGUGUGGGAAAGGCAGGCGGAAUUCCUGGUGUAGCGGUGAAAUGCGUAGAUAUCAGGAGGAACACCGGCGGUGUAGACGGCUUGCUAGACCAUAACUGACGCUGAGGCACGAAAGCGUGGGGAGCAAACA